GAUGAAGAACGUAGCGAAAUGCGAUAAGUAGUGUGAAUUGCAGAAUUCAGUGAAUCAUCGAGUCUUUGAACGCACAUUGCGCCCCCUGGUAUUCCGGGGGGCAUGCCUGUCCGAGCGUCAUUGCUGCCCUCAAGCACGGCUUGUGUGUUGGGCCUCCGUCCUCCUCCCGGGGGACGGGCCCGAAAGGCAGCGGCGGCACCGCGUCCGGUCCUCGAGCGUAUGGGGCUUCGUCACCCGCUCUUGUAGGCCCGGCCGGCGCUUGCCGACACAUCAAUCUUUUUUCCAGGUUGACCUCGGAUCAGGUAGGGAUACCCGCUGAACUUAAGCAUAUCAAUAAGGGAGGA
rnacentral:misc_RNA from 1 species